rnacentral:rRNA from 1 species
GGGCCCGCACAAGCGGUGGAGCAUGUGGUUUAAUUCGAUGAUACGCGAGGAACCUUACCAGGGCUUAAAUGUAGUUUGACCGGUCUGGAAACAGACUUUCUCUUCGGAGCAGAUUACAAGGUGCUGCAUGGUUGUCGUCAGCUCGUGCCGUGAGGUGUUAGGUUAAGUCCUGCAACGAGCGCAACCCCUAUUCUUAGUUGCCAGCGGUUCGGCCGGGGACUCUAAGAAGACUGCCAGCGCAAGCUGAGAGGAAGGUGGGGAUGACGUCAAAUCAUCACGGCCUUACGUCCUGGGCUACACACGUGCUACAAUGGCAUCUACAGUGGGUUAAUCCCCAAAAGAUGUCUCAGUUC